AUUGAACGCUGGCGGCAUGCUUUACACAUGCAAGUCGAACGGUAACAGGCCGCAAGGUGCUGACGAGUGGCGAACGGGUGAGUAAUGCAUCGGAACGUGCCCAGUCGUGGGGGAUAACUUCUCGAAAGAGUAGCUAAUACCGCAUACGAUCUAUGGAUGAAAGCGGGGGACCGUAAGGCCUCGCGCGAUUGGAGCGGCCGAUGUCAGAUUAGGUAGUUGGUGGGGUAAAGGCUCACCAAGCCAACGAUCUGUAGCUGGUCUGAGAGGACGACCAGCCACACUGGGACUGAGACACGGCCCAGACUCCUACGGGAGGCAGCAGUGGGGAAUUUUGGACAAUGGGCGCAAGCCUGAUCCAGCAAUGCCGCGUGCAGGAAGAAGGCCUUCGGGUUGUAAACUGCUUUUGUACGGAACGAAACGGCUCUGGUUAAUACCCGGGGCUAAUGACGGUACCGUAAGAAUAAGCACCGGCUAACUACGUG
rnacentral:rRNA from 1 species